rnacentral:rRNA from 1 species
UACGAAGGGGGCUAGCGUUGCUCGGAAUCACUGGGCGUAAAGGUGCGUAGGCGGGUCUUUAAGUCAGGGGUGAAAUCCUGGAGCUCAACUCCAGAACUGCCUUUGAUACUGAAGAUCUUGAGUCCGGGAGAGGUGAGUGGAACUGCGAGUGUAGAGGUGAAAUUCGUAGAUAUUCGCAAGAACACCAGUGGCGAAGGCGGCUCACUGGCCCGGAACUGACGCUGAGGUGCGAAAGCGUGGGGAGCAAACAGG